AGAGUUUGAUCCUGGCUCAGAACGAACGCUGGCGGCGUGGCUAACACAUGCAAGUCGAACGCGAACGGCUCUUCGGAGCUUAUUAGAGUGGCGAAAGGGCGAGGAAUACUUGGGUAACGUACCCUACACACCGGGAUAACUGUGGGAAACUACAGAUAAUACUGGAUGAGACCACGACUCGUAAGAGUUGUGCUCAAAGGGCGGGGAUCUCUUCGGAGACCCGUUGGUGUGGGAGCGGCCCAAGUCCUAUCAGGUUGUUGGUGAGGUAAUGGCUCACCAAGCCUACGACGGGUACCGGGACUGAGAGGUUGAUCCGGCGCAUUGGGACUGAGACACUGCCCAGACUCCUACGGGAGGCUGCAGUAACGAAUAUUGGACAAUGAGCGAAAGCUUGAUCCAGCGACGCCGCGUGUAGGAUGAAGUCCCUCGGGAUGUAAACUACUGUCAGGGACUACCAAGCAAGGACUGUUAAUACCGGUCUGCGUUGAGGAAUCCCAGAGGAAGCCACGGCUAACUUCGUGCCAGCAGCCGCGGUAAGACGAAGGUGGCGAGCGUUGUUCGGAAUUACUGGGCUUAAAGCGCAUGUAGGCGGAUCAUCAGGUGUCUUGUGAAAGCCCUCGGCUCAACCGAGGAACUGCUGGGCAAACCGAUGAUCUUGAGGCAGGUAGGGGCAACGGGAACUCUUGGUGGAGCGGUGGAAUGCGUAGAUAUCAAGAGGAACGCCAGAGGCGAAGGCGCGUUGCUGGGCCUGUCCUGACGCUGAGAUGCGAAAGCGUGGGUAGCGAACGGGAUUAGAUACCCCGGUAGUCCACGCCCUAAACGAUGUCAACUAGAUCGAGGGUUCUCUGACGGAUUCUUGGUCGAAAUGAAAACGGUAAGUUGACCGCCUGGGGAGUACGGUCGCAAGGCUAAAACUCAAAGGAAUUGACGGGGGCUCACACAAGCGGUGGAGCAUGUUGCUUAAUUCGAUCAACGCGAAGAACCUUAUCCUGGGCUUGACAUAUUUGGAUGACCAUCUGGAAACAGAGUAGUCUGCUCUUCGGAGUGAAACUUAUACAGGUGCUGCAUGGCUGUCGUCAGCUCGUGUCGUGAGAUGUUGGGUUAAGUCCCGUAACGAGCGAAACCCUUGUCGUUAGUUGCCAGCGCGUUAUGGCGGGGACUCUAGCGAGACUGCCGGUGUUAAACCGGAGGAAGGUGGGGAUGACGUCAAGUCCUCAUGGCCUUUAUGCCCAGGGCUGCAAACGUGCUACAAUGGCGUGUACAAACCGACGCAAGACCGCGAGGUGGAGCAAAUCGGAAAAAACACGCCCCAGUUCGGAUUGGAGUCUGCAACUCGACUCCAUGAAGUCGGAAUCGCUAGUAAUCGCGUAUCAGCGUGACGCGGUGAAUGAGUUCCUGAGCCUUGUACACACCGCCCGUCAAGUCAUGGAAGCUGGUAGCACCCGAAGUCGCCCUAUUUCAGGGGUGCCGAAGGUGAGAUCGGUAACUGGGACUAAGUCGUAACAAGGUA
rnacentral:rRNA from 1 species